AAGUCGUAACAAGGUCUCCGUAGGUGAACCUGCGGAGGGAUCAUUAACACUAUUUGGCUUAUGUUAUGCAAGUAUCUCUUUCAAGAGAGAAAACAUAAUGUUAGUUCAAAUUUUCACACACCUGUUGAAUUCGAUUACUUCGGUAGUCAAUCAUCUGUUUAAAGUAUUUAGGUUGUAACUGUGACGAAGUGAGCCCAUAGUGGGCGACCUUACAACUGUGACUUUAAAUGGACCCAAUUUUUUGGGGAUGUUACACUUCAAAACAUCUCGACCCCAUUUUUGCCUUUUUUCACAAACCCUUGAAUAAGCCAUCAGACUGAUUUAAAGAAGUAUAUCGAAAGGUGUAUCUUCUUCAAGAUAACUAAACUAAGCACAACUCUUAGCAACGGAUAUCUUGGUUCUC
rnacentral:misc_RNA from 1 species